rnacentral:lncRNA from 1 species
UAGCUAAAUCUCUGUGCAUCCUCUUGAUCAGAGGGUUCUUACUGGAUCGGGACCUUAUGAGUGUGACAAACGUGGGAUAUUCUUUAUGCAGAAGUCUUGCUUUAUUACAUACAGAAGAGCUUCCUCUGCUGAAGUGCCUCUUGAGUGCGACGAAUGUGAGAAAGCCUUCCGCCUUCUCUCAUUGGAUAACAGAUUGUUCUCUUAAGGAAAACACUGUACACAUACAGGAAAUAUUAUUUCUUGUAAAACAUAACACUGGAGGAGAUGCCUUAUGAGGGAGCCAUCUGCCUAAAUUGAAUGACAUCCAGCAUCUGCAUAAACUCGAUUAUGUUAGAGCUGCAUGGCAUUUUUCACCCUGCCGUGUUCCCUUGCCAGACUUAUGUGACUGCCAGGUAUCUGGCAACCAUUCUAUGUCGGCCACGAGGCAGGUGUUCACCGUGCAUCUUUCACUCACCCCAUGAUGUUCCGAAAGUAAACCUUGGUUGUCUUUCAUUGGCCAGAGGAAUUGGCAGUGGAGGACACGGCAAGAACAGAGUUGGAAUGCACGUCAUUCAAAUGGACAUCCACAUUGAUGCAGUUACUAUGUGUGUGGUGGACCUUCAGGUACAGAAAUUCUCAGAACCUCCGUAAUUAUGAAUCUUGUGUAGCUGAGGCCAUUGUCAAAGGAAAUAAUAUAAAGGAUUUGUGGUUUCCUGUACCUUUUCUUGGCUGUUCACCUCAGGGCCAUGCCUGCACUGGCAGGAGGAAGAGGAUAGGGAGAAGGGAGAUCUCUUAGUCCAGUGAUGUGGUCUGUGUGACCAACCAGUGUUCCAGUCUAAUCAGGUGAAAAUGGCCUUCCUGGCUCAAUCAGUAAUUGCUACCGCAGAGACUCAUUGCCACACUUGGGACAUGAGGAGAUUUUGUAUAGUUGUCAAGCAUUUUUGUCAAAAAUAAUAGAAAAUCCAUGUUUUUCUUUUUUUUUUUAUUUUCUAAGACAAGGUGUUGCUCUGUGACCCUGGCUGGAGUACAGUGGCGAGAUCAUAGUUCGCUGCAGCCUCGAACUCUUCAAGCAAUCCUUUUCCCUCAGCCUCCCAAAGUGUUGGGAUUACAGGCCUGAGCCAUCACGUCCAGCCCACAUUUUUCUUUUGAACCAAUUCUUUAAAGCCAUAAUAAGGAAUAAAUGACAUUCAGUAAACUAUACAUAUUUAAACUGUACCAUGUGAUAAGUUUAGACUUUCGUAGAAACCCAUGAAAGUGGCCAGGCGCAGUGGCUCACGCCUGUAAUCCCCAUACUUUGGGAGGCCGAGGUGGGUGUAUCACAAGGUCAGAAGAUUGAGACCAUCCUGGCUAACACAGUGAAACCCCGUCUCUACUAAAAAUACAAAAAAAAUGGCUGGGCAUGGUGGCUCACGCCUGUAAUCCCAGCACUUUGGGAGGCUAAGGCGGGUGGAUCACGAGGUCAGGAGAUCGAGACCAUCCUGGCUAACAAGGUGAAACCUCAUCUCUACUAAAAAAUACAAAAAAUAGCCGGGUGUGGUGGUGGGUGCCUGUAGUCCCAGCUACUCGGGAUUCUGAGGCAGGAGAAUGGCAUGAACCCGGGAGGCGGAGCUUGCAGUGAGCUGAGAUCAUGCAACUGCACUCCAGCCUGGGUGACAGAGUGAGACUCCAUCUCAAAAAAACAAAAAAACAAAAAAGAAAGAAACCCUUGGAAGUAUAAUUUAUCCAUCGCCUUCAUAUUUACCUGGAGCCUAUUGUUUUUUAUUUACUUUUUGGAGUUGGGGUCUCACUCUGUUACCUGACUGGAGUGCAGUGACAUCAUCAUAGCUCACUGUAAUCUGAAAUUCCUGGGCUCAGGCAGUCCUCCCACCUCAGUCUUCUGAGUAGCUGGAAUCAUAGGCUUGAGCCACCAUGCCUACUUUGUUUUGUUUUGUUUUGUUUUGUUUUUGAGACAGACUCUCACUCUGUCGCCCAGCUUGGAGUGAAGUGGCGUGAUCUCGGCUCACUGCAACCUCCACCUCCUGGCUUCAAGCGAUUCUCCUCCCUCAGCCUCCAGAGUAGCUGGGACUUCAGGUAUGCACAACCAUGCCUGGCUAGUGUUUGUAUUUUUAGUAGAUACGGAGUUUCAACAUCUUGUCCAGGCUGGUCUCGAACUCCUGACCUCAAGUGAUCCACCUGUCUUGGCCUCCCAAAGUGUGGAUUACAGGUGUUAGCCACUGCACCCGGCAUUACUGUUACUAUUUUUUAAAGCGAUGAAGCCUCCUAUGUUGUCCUACCUAGAGCCUUGUCACCCAGGCUGGAAUGCAGUGUUGCCAUCUCGGCUUACUGCAACCUCCGUCUCCUGGGUUCAACAAAUUCUCCCACCUCAGCCUCCUUAUUAGCUAGGAUUACAAGCAUGUACCAUCACACCUGGCUAAUUUUUUUUUGUAUUUUUAUUAGAGACAGUAUUACCCUGUUGGUCAGGCUGGUCUCGAACUCCUGACCUCAAGUGAUCCGCCUGUCUUGCCCUCCCAAAGUUCUGGGAUUACAGGUGUGAGCCACUGUGCAUGGCUUGAGCCUUUUAAUAGGAUGUUCCUCUCUGCUCUUCAGACAACCAUUGAUUUAGUAUGCUUUAAAACAGAUUAGUUUGUGUUUUCUGGAAUUUUAUAUGAAUGAUAUCUUAAACUAUUUCCUCUUUUCAUUUUUGGGUUCUCUACUGUGUCAUUUAUUUUGCUAUUAGUGAUGAUAUAUGACUAAUUCAUUCCUUUUAUAUUCCUGAGAAGUAUGACAUGGUGUGAAACAUCAGUGUGUGCAUAUUAAUCCAUCUGUUUAUAUUUUAUUUGCUUCUCACUUUUGUCUGUUAUAAAUAAUAC